UUUCUCAUGGAUACUUUGUAUGUGUAUCACUGAUUUUUACAUAUACAACUAAAGAUAUCGUAACGUCAUGUUCCCGCGAAAUUUGUCGCCGCGUUAUUCAAUUGUUUCAAAAUGAAAAGAAUUAAAGAAAUAUGGCGCACAUGGUGGCAGCGUGGAUGACUGAAUUUCCAGGUUUUCAGGUUUUUCAAUAACUUCUGCUGAUAACAUGCAGCAACAGGAGG